UCGUGCUCCCCGAGGUGGGACUCGAACUCGCGAACCGUGAGAUCAUGACCUGAGCCAAAGUCGGACGCUUAACCGACUGAGCCACCCGGGUGCCCUCUAACUUCUUGAUAGUGAGGUAUUAGACUGUGACUUUUUUCUAAGUUGGACCCUCUUCAUUCUAAUAAUUGUUGAUUGUCCAUGAUGGUUUAGCUGUAAUGGGGGCCUGGGGCCGACGGCCAAGAAAGAAUUCUUGAGACAUCUUCAGUGCAAAAGGGUGAUUCUAUUCAAGCAUGAGGGCAGGAUCUGGGGGCAGGAAGAGCUGUUUGAGCAUGUAACUAUUGAAAUAAUAAAAAUAUUAAGAUCCUUUUAAUUAUGUAUAUCUCUGCCAGUGCAAACAUAACCCUGGGAGAGCAAAGAGAUUCUAUGCCCCCUUCCUUUCCUCAGCAUUUGGCCUUCCUCUGCCUGCAGCUCGUGGUCAACCAAACUGAUCUGCUUCUUCCUUUCCGUCUUUUCCAGGAGUCUUGGCUGAACUUAAACCAUAAAUCGAAGGCACACAGAGAACAUCAGCAGGUUCGGAAAAUAUACCUUCUCUCCUUUUACGUGCAACCGUGAAUGGAGCCACAGCCUGAUUUGCUGGUGGUGUUGAGGAGCAAGGAGGCUCACUCCGGAAGAAUCACCUCCCCCAGGAAGCCCAGCCAGAGGAUUCUGAUCCCAGGGCGGUUCCAAAACUUCCCCAGCCUAAGGAGCUUGGAGCAUGAUGCCUGGGACAAGAACCAAACCAUAGUCUGAGGGCUCCAAGAACAAUCUCCCACUGUACUGGGUUGAAUGGUAGCUCGCCAAAAAGAUGUCGACGUGUCAGAACCCGUGAUGGUGACCUUAUUUGGAAGAAGGGUCUUUGCAAGAUGUAGUUACGGAUCUCGAGAUUAUCCUGGAUUAGCCAGGUCAUCCAGUUUAAUGGCAAGACAGAAAAGAGAAGACAGACACCGAGAAGAAGGCCAUGUGAAGACAGAGGCAGAGAUUAGAGACGCUGCCACGAGCCAGGAAACACCAGGAGCCGCCAGGAGCUGGAAGAGGCAAGGAAGGAUUCUCCCCUACCGCCUUUGGAGGAACAGCCCUCCCAACAUCCUGAUUUUGGACUUCCAGCCUCCAGAACUGUGAGAAUGAAUUUUUGUUGUUUGAAGCCCCCAAGUUGUGGUAAUCUUUUAUGACCUUCCUAUUUUCCUAGGAAAUUCAUAUGCUCCCCCCCUUUAAAAAAAUGACACUGACUUUUUUAAAAGUCUAGGAAUUGUUGUAUUAUCGAAUGUCCCAAUUCUGAAAUUGUCUUCAGAUUGACCUUUUAAAGUCAUAAAUCAGAUCAAGUCAUUCCCUUGCUUAAAACCCUCCAACGGCUUUUCAUUGCAUUAAAAUAAAAUAAGCUAUAAACUCUUUA